UAAGACAUGUAAGUCGAACGGGCUCACAGGUGAGCUUGCUCUCUGGGUGGCGAGUGGCGGACGGGUGAGGAAUACAUCGGAAUCUACUUUUUCGUGGGGGAUAACGUAGGGAAACUUACGCUAAUACCGCAUACGACCUACGGGUGAAAGCAGGGGACCUUCGGGCCUUGCGCGAUUGAAUGAGCCGAUGUCGGAUUAGCUAGUUGGCGGGGUAAAGGCCCACCAAGGCGACGAUCCGUAGCUGGUCUGAGAGGAUGAUCAGCCACACUGGAACUGAGACACGGUCCAGACUCCUACGGGAGGCAGCAGUGGGGAAUAUUGGACAAUGGGCGCAAGCCUGAUCCAGCCAUACCGCGUGGGUGAAGAAGGCCUUCGGGUUGUAAAGCCCUUUUGUUGGGAAAGAAAUCCAGCUGGCUAAUACCCGGUUGGGAUGACGGUACCCAAAGAAUAAGCACCGGCUAACUUCGUGCCAGCAGCCGCGGUAAUACGAAGGGUGCAAGCGUUACUCGGAAUUACUGGGCGUAAAAGCGUGCGUAGGUGGUCGUUUA
rnacentral:rRNA from 1 species